AUUGAACGCUGGCGGAAUGCUUUACACAUGCGAGUCGAACGGCAGCACGGACUUCGGUCUGGUGGCGAGUGGCGAACGGGUGAGUAAUGUAUCGGAACGUGCCCAGUCGUGGGGGAUAACGUAGUGAAAAUUACGCUAAUACCGCAUACGAUCUAUGGAUGAAAGCGGGGGAUCGCAAGACCUUGCGCGAUUGGAGCGGCCGAUAUCAGAUUAGGUAGUUGGUGGGGUAAAGGCCCACCAAGCCAACGAUCUGUAGCUGGUCUGAGAGGACGACCAGCCACACUGGAACUGAGACACGGUCCAGACUCCUACGGGAGGCAGCAGUGGGGAAUUUUGGACAAUGGGCGGAAGCCUGAUCCAGCCAUUCCGCGUGCAGGAUGAAGGCCCUCGGGUUGUAAACUGCUUUUGUACAGAACGAAAAGGUUUCUACUAAUACUAGGAGCUCAUGACGGUACUGUAAGAAUAAGCACCGGCUAACUACGUGCCAGCCGCCGCAGUAA
rnacentral:rRNA from 1 species